rnacentral:rRNA from 1 species
AGCAUAUUAAUAAGCGGAGGAAAAGAAACUAACAAGGAUUCCCUCAGUAACAGCGAGUGAAGCGGGAACAGCUCAAAUUUGAAAUCUCCGACGCUUGCGUCGGCGAGUUGUAGUUGCGAGAAGCACUUUCUAGGCGGAUCGGUGGUGCCUAAGUUGCUUGGAACAGUACGUCAUAGAGGGUGACAACCCCG